rnacentral:rRNA from 1 species
GGGUUGUGAGGUUAAGCGACUAAGCGUACACGGUGGAUGCCCUGGCAGUCAGAGGCGAUGAAGGACGUGCUAAUCUGCGAUAAGCGUCGGUAAGGUGAUAUGAACCGUUAUAACCGGCGAUUUCCGAAUGGGGAAACCCAGUGUGAUUCGUCACACUAUCAUUAACUGAAUCCAUAGGUUAAUGAGGCGAACCGGGGGAACUGAAACAUCUAAGUACCCCGAGGAAAAGAAAUCAACCGAGAUUCCCCCAGUAGCGGCGAGCGAACGGGGAGCAGCCCAGAGCCUGAAUCAGUGUGUGUGUUAGUGGAAGCGUCUGGAAAGGCGCGCGAUACAGGGUGACAGCCCCGUACACAAAAAUGCACAUGCUGUGAGCUCGAUGAGUAGGGCGGGACACGUGGUAUCCUGUCUGAAUAUGGGGGACCAUCCUCCAAGGCUAAAUACUCCUGACUGACCGAUAGUGAACCAGUACCGUGAGGGAAAGGCGAAAAGAACCCCGGCGAGGGGAGUGAAAAAGAACCUGAAACCGUGUACGUACAAGCAGUGGGAGCACGCUUAGGCGUGUGACUGCGUACCUUUUGUAUAAUGGGUCAGCGACUUAUAUUCUGUAGCAAGGUUAACCGAAUAGGGGAGCCGAAGGGAAACCGAGUCUUAACUGGGCGUUAAGUUGCAGGGUAUAGACCCGAAACCCGGUGAUCUAGCCAUGGGCAGGUUGAAGGUUGGGUAACACUAACUGGAGGACCGAACCGACUAAUGUUGAAAAAUUAGCGGAUGACUUGUGGCUGGGGGUGAAAGGCCAAUCAAACCGGGAGAUAGCUGGUUCUCCCCGAAAGCUAUUUAGGUAGCGCCUCGUGAAUUCAUCUCCGGGGUAGAGCACUGUUUCGGCAAGGGGGUCAUCCCGACUUACCAACCCGAUGCAAACUGCGAAUACCGGAGAAUGUUAUCACGGGAGACACACGGCGGGUGCUAACGUCCGUCGUGAAGAGGGAAACAACCCAGACCGCCAGCUAAGGUCCCAAAGUCAUGGUUAAGUGGGAAACGAUGUGGGAAGGCCCAGACAGCCAGGAUGUUGGCUUAGAAGCAGCCAUCAUUUAAAGAAAGCGUAAUAGCUCACUGGUCGAGUCGGCCUGCGCGGAAGAUGUAACGGGGCUAAACCAUGCACCGAAGCUGCGGCAGCGACGCUGAUGCGUUGUUGGGUAGGGGAGCGUUCUGUAAGCCUGUGAAGGUGUGCUGUGAGGCAUGCUGGAGGUAUCAGAAGUGCGAAUGCUGACAUAAGUAACGAUAAAGCGGGUGAAAAGCCCGCUCGCCGGAAGACCAAGGGUUCCUGUCCAACGUUAAUCGGGGCAGGGUGAGUCGACCCCUAAGGCGAGGCCGAAAGGCGUAGUCGAUGGGAAACAGGUUAAUAUUCCUGUACUUGGUGUUACUGCGAAGGGGGGACGGAGAAGGCUAUGUUGGCCGGGCGACGGUUGUCCCGGUUUAAGCGUGUAGGCUGGUUUUCCAGGCAAAUCCGGAAAAUCAAGGCUGAGGCGUGAUGACGAGGCACUACGGUGCUGAAGCAACAAAUGCCCUGCUUCCAGGAAAAGCCUCUAAGCAUCAGGUAACAUCAAAUCGUACCCCAAACCGACACAGGUGGUCAGGUAGAGAAUACCAAGGCGCUUGAGAGAACUCGGGUGAAGGAACUAGGCAAAAUGGUGCCGUAACUUCGGGAGAAGGCACGCUGAUAUGUAGGUGAAGCGACUUGCUCGUGGAGCUGAAAUCAGUCGAAGAUACCAGCUGGCUGCAACUGUUUAUUAAAAACACAGCACUGUGCAAACACGAAAGUGGACGUAUACGGUGUGACGCCUGCCCGGUGCCGGAAGGUUAAUUGAUGGGGUUAGCGCAAGCGAAGCUCUUGAUCGAAGCCCCGGUAAACGGCGGCCGUAACUAUAACGGUCCUAAGGUAGCGAAAUUCCUUGUCGGGUAAGUUCCGACCUGCACGAAUGGCGUAAUGAUGGCCAGGCUGUCUCCACCCGAGACUCAGUGAAAUUGAACUCGCUGUGAAGAUGCAGUGUACCCGCGGCAAGACGGAAAGACCCCGUGAACCUUUACUAUAGCUUGACACUGAACAUUGAGCCUUGAUGUGUAGGAUAGGUGGGAGGCUUUGAAGUGUGGACGCCAGUCUGCAUGGAGCCGACCUUGAAAUACCACCCUUUAAUGUUUGAUGUUCUAACGUGGACCCGUAAUCCGGGUUGCGGACAGUGUCUGGUGGGUAGUUUGACUGGGGCGGUCUCCUCCUAAAGAGUAACGGAGGAGCACGAAGGUUGGCUAAUCCUGGUCGGACAUCAGGAGGUUAGUGCAAUGGCAUAAGCCAGCUUGACUGCGAGCGUGACGGCGCGAGCAGGUGCGAAAGCAGGUCAUAGUGAUCCGGUGGUUCUGAAUGGAAGGGCCAUCGCUCAACGGAUAAAAGGUACUCCGGGGAUAACAGGCUGAUACCGCCCAAGAGUUCAUAUCGACGGCGGUGUUUGGCACCUCGAUGUCGGCUCAUCACAUCCUGGGGCUGAAGUAGGUCCCAAGGGUAUGGCUGUUCGCCAUUUAAAGUGGUACGCGAGCUGGGUUUAGAACGUCGUGAGACAGUUCGGUCCCUAUCUGCCGUGGGCGCUGGAGAACUGAGGGGGCUGCUCCUAGUACGAGAGGACCGGAGUGGACGCAUCACUGGUGUUCGGGUUGUCAUGCCAAUGGCACUGCCCGGUAGCUAAAUGCGGAAGAGAUAAGUGCUGAAAGCAUCUAAGCACGAAACUUGCCCCGAGAUGAGUUCUCCCUGACUCCUUGAGAGUCCUGAAGGAACGUUGAAGACGACGACGUUGAUAGGCCGGGUGUGUAAGCGCAGCGAUGCGUUGAGCUAACCGGUACUAAUGAACCGUGAGGCUUAACCUUACAACGCCGAAG